rnacentral:rRNA from 1 species
UGGGGAAUAUUGCACAAUGGGCGGAAGCCUGAUGCAGCGACGCCGCGUGGGGGAUGAAGGCCUUCGGGUUGUAAACUCCUUUCGACAGGGACGAAGCUGUUGUGACGGUACCUGUAUAAGAAGCACCGGCUAACUACGUGCCAGCAGCCGCGGUAAUACGUAGGGUGCGAGCGUUGUCCGGAAUUACUGGGCGUAAAGAGCUCGUAGGUGGUUUGUCGCGUCGUCUGUGAAAUUCCGGGGCUUAACUCCGGGCGUGCAGGCGAUACGGGCUGACUUGAGUGCUGUAGGGGAGACUGGAAUUCCUGGUGUAGCGGUGAAAUGCGCAGAUAUCAGGAGGAACACCGAUGGCGAAGGCAGGUCUCUGGGCAGUAACUGACGCUGAGGAGCGAAAGCAUGGGUAGCGAACAGG